AAUCUGGGGUCGCCGACCUCCGAGUUGUAAUUUGGAGAGGCAUCUUCGGGGGGGAGCGCCGGCCCCAUGUUCCUUGGAACAGGACGUCGCAGAGGGUGAGAAUCCCGUGCCAGGCCGGCCGCCUCCGUCCCGGUGAGGGGCCUUCGACGAGUCGAGUUGUUUGGGAAUGCAGCUCCAAGUGGGUGGUAAAUUUCAUCUAAAGCUAAAUACCGGCGGGAGACCGAUAGCGCACAAGUAGAGUGAUCGAAAGAUGAAAAGCACUUUGAAAAUAGAGUCAAAAAGUACGUGAAAUUGUUGAAAGGGAAGCGCUUGAGACCAGACCCGGACCCGGGCAAACACCGCGCCCCUCGGGGCCGUGCAAUUGCCCGUGGCUGGGCCAGCAUCAGUCGGCUCGGCGGGACAAAUGCGAGGGGAAUGUGUCUCCCCUCGGGGAGUGUUUAUUAGCCCCUCGCCCAAUGCCGCCCGCGCCGACUGUGGACCGCGCCUCGGCUAGGAUGCUGGCCUAAUGGCCUUCAGCGACCCGUCUUGAAACACGGACCAAGGAGUCUAACAUCUAUGCGAGUGUUUGGGCUUCAAACCCUUGCGCGGAAUGAAAGUGAGCGGAGGUGGGAACCCCCCAGCGGGGCGCACCAUCGACCGAUCCUGAUGUCCUCGGAUGGAUUUGAGUA
rnacentral:rRNA from 1 species